GGCCUGGUGGUCUGGCAGUUGGUUCCUUCUCUGGCGUCUGGAGGAGGUCCCGGGUUCAAUUCCCGGCCAGGCCC